GAUGAACGCUGGCGGCGUGCCUAAUACAUGCAAGUCGAGCGAACAGACGAGGAGCUUGCUCCUCUGACGUUAGCGGCGGACGGGUGAGUAACACGUGGAUAACCUACCUAUAAGACUGGGAUAACUUCGGGAAACCGGCGCUAAUACCGGAUAAUAUAUUGAACCGCAUGGUUCAAUAGUGAAAGACGGGUUUGCUGUCUCUUAUAGAUGGAUCCGCGCCGCAUUAGCUAGUUGGUAAGGUAACGGCUUACCAAGGCAACGAUGCGUAGCCGACCUGAGAGGGUGAUCGGCCACACUGGAACUGAGACACGGUCCAGACUCCUACGGGAGGCAGCAGUAGGGAAUCUUCCGCAAUGGGCGAAAGCCUGACGGAGCAACGCCGCGUGAGUGAUGAAGGUCUUCGGAUCGUAAAACUCUGUUAUUAGGGAAGAACAAAUGUGUAAGUAACUAUGCACGUCUUGACGGUACCUAAUCAGAAAGCCACGGCUAACUACGUG
rnacentral:rRNA from 1 species